rnacentral:snoRNA from 1 species
UUCCAGAGUGUUGAAUUCAGUUCAGGUCAGCUUCCCUGUUCUAUUAAACUUUAGGAAAUUUAAAUGGGCUAGAAUAGGUGAUUGGAUAGAAAAGUACUGUUAUAUUCACUUAUGUCCCAGCCUAUAAAA